rnacentral:rRNA from 1 species
UACGUAGGGUGCGAGCGUUGUCCGGAAUUAUUGGGCGUAAAGGGCUCGUAGGCGGUUUGUCGCGUCGGCCGUGAAAACUUGGGGCUUAACCCCAAGCCUGCGGUCGAUACGGGCAGACUUGAGUUCGGCAGGGGAGACUGGAAUUCCUGGUGUAGCGGUGAAAUGCGCAGAUAUCAGGAGGAACACCGGUGGCGAAGGCGGGUCUCUGGGCCGAUACUGACGCUGAGGAGCGAAAGCGUGGGGAGCGAACAGG